rnacentral:lncRNA from 1 species
AGAAGACAGCAAGGAGGCAUGGGGAGCAGGGGCAGGACCUUACCCAGAGGGGCAUGACCCAGGUAGAUGGGCCGGGCUGGACUGGGUGGAAGAGUCCUGGCACCCUACAGGGUUUUCUUUAUCCAGCUGGACUCAGAGCUGGAAGGGGUUUUAGAGGCUACCUAGGCAAUCCCUUCCCCUUGCAGAGAAGGAAACUGAGGCCUAGAGAGAACACUCAAUCAGUCAUUGGCUGUGUUGAGACCUGAACCCAGGCCCUCCCUUUGCACCAUUUUUCUGUUGUCAUGGUUCCUCACCACAGCUCAGUGUGCUGCCCUGCCCAGGACCUGUGGGUCAUGGUGGUUGUUUGCCCAUCUCCCCAACAAAAGAAGGGAGCAGGGCUGAGGAGUGGGGAGAUUACUACUGGCUUCUGAUCGCUAGUCAGAAGGAGGCCCCCUCUGAGGCCUGGAGGCAGGGAAAGUUGGGGCAAGUUGGGGUGUGUAUGGGGAGAAAACUCAAUGGAGAAUUGUGGUCCCUCAGAAUUCAGUCUGCUUUCUGUCUUCUGCCUCAGGCUCUCCCCACAGGCCACCAUGCUGCACAGCUGCAGGGGGAACCAUUCCAUAGACUAUGAUGUGAAUGGCACCCCCUGGGGUUGUUCAAGGCCCUGCCUGUGUAGCCACACGUGGUGCAUCUGUCUCCCACCUUCUUCCUUCAAAUUAGUUCAGACCCACCUGGAAGGAGGUGUUCCAGACAGGCCUUAAUCCAACACCCUCUCCCCUACCCUGCCUCAUGCCACUCAACAUCUCCUAUUCCUCUGCUGCCCACCCCCAACGCACCAAGCAAGUCAUGGUGCACCACCAAUUGUGGUUCAGAAGCCCCUCCC